CGGUUAAGUUAGAAAGGGCGCACGGUGGAUGCCUUGGCACUAGGAGCCGAUGAAGGACGGGACGAACACCGAUAUGCUUCGGGGAGCUGUAAGCAAGCUUUGAUCCGGAGAUUUCCGAAUGGGGAAACCCACCACUCGUAAUGGAGUGGUAUCCAUAUCUGAAUACAUAGGAUAUGAGAAGGCAGACCCGGGGAACUGAAACAUCUAAGUACCCGGAGGAAGAG
rnacentral:rRNA from 1 species